GCUUAGGCAGCAGCACAGGUAAGCAGCAGCAUUGUGCUGCCUUGGUAAGUGCAGACAGUUUGGUAUUAGGAAUACCAUACACACAUCUCUUUCAGUGUUUGGCCCUGGUUUCUUUGCUGCCCUGGCUUACUGCAGACCAUCAAGCUCUGGAACUUCCUGAAGUGCAGGCAUCCUGCAUCAGGGACUGCUGCAGGGAGUUAUCACAGGACGCCCUGGCUGCCUCUUCCUCCAGCAUUUCUAUGAUCUAAGCAUAUGUUUGAUAUUUGGAAAGGUCUGUGACAGAAAAAGAAAGUAAAAUUAUUCUGUUUUCACUACUCCAGCAUAUCUGAUAAUGAGGAUUGUACUUAAAAUCUGAAAAUAUAUAUUAUACAUGGGCAUGGAUGUAUUGUGAUGCAUCACACAAACCAAAUAUCGUUUAUCUGACAGACCAUAAGGACUAGAACACUAAUCCCUCAAGGUGGUGUCCUUACAGACUUCUGAUGUGACUUGCAUCUGGCUGACAGCUGUGCAUGAGAGCAAAACCUCUGCUCUCCCCCUCAAGCACUGCAUGGGAAACCUCCAGCAGCUGGAUUGGUGAGAUGAAUGCUCUGUCUCAUAGAAUCAUAGAAUGGCUUGGGUUGGAAAGGACUUUCAUGAUCACUGAGCUCCAACUCCCUGCUGUGGGCAGGGUUGCCAACCACUAGAUCAGGCACUCAGGCUACCUCAUAAGUCUUGGUAAUACAGUCUUGGAAAUACAGCUCAGAAAUGGCACUAAUCCCAGGAAAGAGAUAUCAGCACAGGUAACACCGGUAGCAGUGCACAGUAGGAUGAACAGCACUGAUCAAAGGCCAUGAGAUAAUGACUGAUAGAGCUGUGCUGCCCUUUUACAGCCAGGAGGAGGACAACUAUUUAAACUGUCCUCAAGAAGGAAACUUCAGUCAGUGAGGGAAAAUCUUCAAUAAAACCUUACAAAAUAAAUCAUCCAUUUAAAGUUUCAUACUUACAUGUAGGAAAAUCUGAAGUCAAUAGCAGAUUUAUUGUUAGAAAGUACUCCACUUAUAUGCCAUGACAUUUCUUUUAUGACGGUAUACCAGACAACCAUCUUCAAGAGAACUAUGAGAGCAGAACAUGAGGGCAGUUUAGGUCCUGGUGGAACAUGUCUGAGGCACACUGCUCUAAGAAAAUACACGUUCACAAGAUGACAUUUUGAAUGUUUUCAUAACCCAUUCACACUGAAGGAGCAUUCAGUAAGAACGGUGCGGCAGGGCUGCUCAGGGUACAAAUCUCAUUUCAGUGCUUCCUUGUGGGACCAGCCCAGUUUUGUUAUGCUCCCCACAUCCCACUGCUCUAUCCGAGCACAGGAGAAGCAGCUUGGGGCUGAGGCUUGGCUCACUGGUAAAGGACAAAAGGCACAUCCCAGCCUGGGUAAGUCCAUCUGGAAAAUAGCUAGAAUACGACCAGAGAUAAGUAGGUUAAAUGACCAGAACACCAUUAGAGCAUAUGAUCCUUAAUUACUACUUCCAGAACACUUUGAUGUCCUUAGGGAGGGAGCAUAUAAAGUUCAAAAUGAGUACUUAAUAAGUGAGAUUUUCAAAAGCAUUUAAAUAGCAAAGGAGUUCCAGAGACCGCUAAGUUCCAUGGGGAGCUUUGAAAUUCCCCCUCAAGAUAAUAAUUGUAUGUCCCACUAUUUGUUAAAAAGCCUUUCUUCUCCAGUGACAGUGUGUAUUACUUAUACACAUUCUGUAGUCCUGUUUUUGUUCUCUGACUAACUGAAAGCAUAGCCUCAGUGUAUCUCUCUGUGUGUUGUGCAAUAGCAGAUUUGGAAUUUGCAUUUUUUAGAUUACCAGACAAUAAAAAAAAUAGAGAUUGCAUAGAUAUGCACCACCCUUCAUUAAAGGCAGCGAUAUUCUCUCCCACCCAGCCCUGCCCAACCAACACAAUAUUGCACAUAUGCCUCCAGACAAUGAGGCUACCACACCUUUUGCCUCUAAUUAAAAUUAUUAAGUCAAGAAGGAAAGAAAUGCAUUUUAGUCUGUGCUUGUUAGCCAAAUGUCUCGAUAAAACUGAACAUGUUCUGCUGCUGCCCACCAUCUGCUCUUAUAAAUACUUAUUAAAAACACUGAAUAGGAAAAUAAAUUUGUCAUCACUGACUUUCAGGGAUUUACACCAACUCUACCCUCAGCUUUGUCUCUAGUGCAGAAUAAUAAACAUCCAUGGAACAUGAUACAUUUUUUUCCCAUUAAAAAUAUUUUGCAUUUCACAAAUUUCCGUAGGAAAGAUUCCAAACAAAUAUGCGCGUGAAGAGUACAUAGAAGAAUGAGGCCAUCUUUAAGAGGAUGGUAAUUUAAUGGGGUAAUCUUGCUUUUCCUCUCUUGACCCAUUCCUUACAUAUUCUCAAUCUUUGCACUGCUGAAGACGUCAGCUACUGCAGAAGCGCUGCAACUCCCUGCCUUUCACGAAGAGGUAACUAUUCAGGGGGCUCAGCCUUUGAGGCAUCAAAAAAAAAUUUAUUAAUGUUCCUUCACUACUGGAAAUUCAAAUAUCUUGCAUUAAUGAGUUAAAAAAUAAAUAAAAAAUCAGACUUAACCAUAGCACCCAGUCCAAUCAUGAUUCUUCAUCUAUUGCAAAUGAUAGAAUGAAGAAAUCCCAGCUGAUGCAAUGCAGGCAUCGAUAAAUAGGGGUUUAACAAGAACGUCAGUGCUGUUUCUCUUGCAGGCUCCCUGUUGAACUUUAGGCCUAAUCAUCAUUCCCAGGCUCUCCUCAAGCUAUUUUAAUUAACUUGCCUUCAGUGACUUCUGUAGAAGCAGAUAAAACAUUAUAGGUACAAUGCUAUGGCCAGGUGCAACAUUAAAGCCAGCAGUAUUUGGAAAAUGAGGGAAAAGGGGACUUUCCUGAGAACAGUGCUCAUCUCUAGAACCGUCAUUCUUCAAUGCCUGAAUGACAGAUAGCCCUCCCAGUCAAGAUGCAGUUCCCAGCACAGAAGUGCCUUUACAAAAGAGAUGAAGGAAUGGUACCAGAUAUCAACAUUAUCACAUUCAGAAAGGGCUCAUGGGUACAGUUUUGGAGUUCUUGCAGAUUUCCAUCCCAAAACCACAGAGCGAGAAGCUGGAAGUGCAGCAAGAAACAUGGAAGGAGAUUGACAUCUGUUUUCCGUUCACCUCCCUGAAGCAGUUCUUCUUCCUGCUCCAGGUCUAGCUCAACAGCAUACCAAGCUCUUUCAUCGUUAGAAUGUGGAGGAAACAAGGAUCAAUUUCCUUUAAUGCACCUGCCUCUAAUUCCUGGCAGCGCAGCAGCUGUUCCUGAGCUGCUGUGGUACCCCUGCUGUGGAGGAAAGAACCUUGGAGAGAAGGGCAGGGCACAUUUCCUGGCUGAAGUCAAAGGCACAGGGUGCUGGCCAACACCGAGAUACCAAACUAGAGGCUGGUGUACCCAGCAGAUCUGAUGUCCCUAAGAGAUUGUACAGGUCCAAGCAGCAGCUUAAAGCACCAUGAAGUCAAAUGUAACAUUAAAAAUGCAUUCAGCAUGAUAAGUCAGCUUGAACAACAGCUCAAGAGAAUGGGAGAUUUCAAACAUAAGCCACAGUAAAGGCCACUGAGAGCUGCAGAGUGAAGUCUGUGAUCAGUCUUGAUGCUCACGGCCACAGUCCUCUGAGAUACAGCAAUCUCUGUGAUUCCUUUGAAAAUCAUAGCUCAUCUGGGACAAGGGUGACUCCAUGUAUACUACUUGUUCAACUGAAAUAUUCAUCAAACACUAUUAAAGGAAACGGUUCCUAAAAGUUCAACACUCCUUCCUAUCUGCUCUGGAUGGAAAAACUCAAGAACAUAAUUUCUGAGACCACCCAAAUUCAGAGGAGAAGAAAAGGCAGAGUGGAAUUGUCAACUUUCUUGUGACUUUAUAUUCAGAUGCUCUUUGGAAUCUCAUUGUCUUGGCUAUAAAUGCAGAAAAAGAUAAAGCAAUUGGAGAAAAGUGAUGAGAUGUAAAACAAUGGUUAAAGAGUUGAAGAAGAGUAAAAUUCCAAUUUGCAAAAGCUGAACAGGGAAAAAAAAGAAAGCAAGCAUAUUGCUGUGACCACAUCAUGUCAAGACUAGGAGAGCUAUUCUGAGCUAUGACAUUACUUCAGUGAAGAAGAGACUUUAUCCUUCAUCUGUAGGGGGGAAAAAACGAAUUGAAGAAAUCUCAAGUUACAGUGUACCUUGCUAAGUGCACCAGUGCUUUUGCAAAAUAUAUGUAAAAAUAUUCCAUCUGCUGGGCUGCAUGCCGACACUUCUUUCUUCUAGGAAUCAGUCUCUCCACUCAGUCAGGACGACUGUGUGUUUUGCCCCUUACUCCAUCAAGUAAAUCAAAGGGAAAUCACCACAGUAGGAGAUAAUUUUCAUUUGAGUUAACUGGAGUGCUAGCCAAAUGUAGAAAAAUCAUCACCUCUCAAAGGCUCAGACAUACCAUCUUUUCUAGCAAUGUUUCCCCAGAUCAAGCUUAUUAACUCAUAAUAAUGAAGUAUUUUAAACAGUUUAAUACCACCUGAACUCUUUUAGAAAUUGUUUGAUGUACUCUCAUGCUGGUUUGGUUUGGUUCAGUUUGGUUUACUUUGGGUUGUGGGAGUUUUUCUCUGCUGAUUUUUAUGAUGAAAGGCAUGUAUCUGAUCUUAGUUCCGUGUUGUGGUACUGGAGAUUUGACCACUGAGCAGUUCUCAUACAGAAGAGAUAAUUAUUGAGCACACAGCCAUGAAAAAAAUGAGCCAGGAAAGCAUGGUUAUUAUGUGUAUAAGAUGAGAACACAAUUUGAGAAGAUUUGAGAAUAUGUAUUUUUGAAAACUGGAUAUAGCAAGACCAACUGCUGCUUUCUCUCAUGCACCUCAUGUUAGUACAUCAGGCAAGUAUACAGGAAGAAUGAAGAAUUCUUAAACUAAUAAGAAACUCUGACCUGAAACCAAACAAAUGUUUUAGGCUGGAAUUUGGAAGAUUUUAUGUCAUGCAAGUGAAAUACUGGAACAAUCCAUCAUUAGGAGCAGGGAGAAGAAAAAUCCUAUCUAAAUCAAUGAUAAGGUGUGAUAAAUACGUGGAGCUGACAGGAGCCAAAAUCCACGUGGAUCUUACAGUGUCUGCUCACAUGCUCCCAGCAAAAAGCUGCUGGAAAUAA